AACGAACGCUGGCGGCAGGCCUAACACAUGCAAGUCGAGCGGUAGAGCGGAGCUUGCUUCUCUUGAGAGCGGCGGACGGGUGAGUAAUGCCUAGGAAUCUGCCUGGUAGUGGGGGCUAACGUUCGGAAACGGACGCUAAUACCGCAUACGUCCUAUGGGAGAAAGUGGGGGCUCUUCGGACCUCACGCUACCAGAUGAGCCUAGGUCGGAUUAGCUAGUUGGUGAGGUAAAGGCUCACCAAGGCGACGAUCCGUAACUGGUCUGAGAGGAUGAUCAGUCGCACUGGAACUGAGACACGGUCCAGACUGCUACGGGAGGCAGCAGUAGGGAAUAUUGGACAAUGGGCGCAAGCCUGAUCCAGCCAUGCCGCGUGUGUGAAGAAGGUCUUCGGAUUGUAAAGCACUUUAAGUUGGGAGGAAGGUCAGUAGCUUAAUACGUUGCUGAUUUGACGUUACCGACAGAAUAAGCACCGGCUAACUCUGUGCCAGCCGCCGCGGUAACAC
rnacentral:rRNA from 1 species